CUAUCUGCAGUCGAGCGACUGAUUAGAAGCUUGCUUCUAUGACGUUAGCGGCGGACGGGUGAGUAACACGUGGGCAACCUGCCUGUAAGACUGGGAUAACUUCGGGAAACCGAAGCUAAUACCGGAUAGGAUCUUCUCCUUCAUGGGAGAUGAUUGAAAGAUGGUUUCGGCUAUCACUACAGAUGGGCCCGCGGUGCAUUAGUUAGUUGGUGAGGUAACGGCUCACCAAGGCAACGAUGCAUAGCCGACCUGAGAGGGUGACCGGCCACACUGGGACUGAGACACGGCCCAGACUCCUACGGGAGGCAGCAGUAGGGAAUCUUCCGCAAUGGACGAAAGUCUGACGGAGCAACGCCGCGUGAGUGAUGAAGGCUUUCGGGUCGUAAAACUCUGUUGUUAGGGAAGAACAAGUAUGAGAGUAACUGCUCGUACCUUGACGGUACCUAACCAGAAAGCCACGGCUAACUACGUGCCAGCAGCCGCGGUAAUACGUAGGUGGCAAGCGUUAUCCGGAAUUAUUGGGCGUAAAGCGCGCGCAGGCGGUUUCUUAAGUCUGAUGUGAAAGCCCACGGCUCAACCGUGGAGGGUCAUUGGAAACUGGGGAACUUGAGUGCAGAAGAGAAAAGCGGAAUUCCACGUGUAGCGGUGAAAUGCGUAGAGAUGUGGAGGAACACCAGUGGCGAAGGCGGCUUUUGGUCUGUAACUGACGCUGAGGCGCGAAAGCGUGGGGAGCAAAACAGGAUUAGAUACCCCUGGGUAGUCCACCCCGUAAAACGAUGAGUGCUAAGUGUUAGAGGGUUUUCCCCCCUUUAGUGCUGCAGCUAACGCAUUAAGCACUCCCCCUGGGGAAG
rnacentral:rRNA from 1 species